GCACGAGUGGCGAAGUUGGUAGACGCACCUGACUUAGGAUCAGACGCUGAAAGGCAUGUGGGUUCGAAUCCCACCUCGUGUA
rnacentral:tRNA from 1 species